CGAGGCCUUCCGGAAACGGAUGAUGCUGGCAUACCGCUUCCGGCCCAACCCCCUGAACAACCCACGACGACCUUACUACUGAGGAAGGCUUUUCCCACCAGAUUUCCUGGGAAUUCUUAUCCCAAACUUCAUCCAUCUCUUUUUUCCCCAAUAUUAUCCAGCUUUUUUUGGAAUCACAGCUCCUCUUUCCCCCCAUGGAAAAGCUUUCCCAGCUUUUUUUUUUUAUUAUUUUUGGGACACACGAGGAGGAUUUGGAGCAGCCCCAAAAAAUCUCCCCCAAGGGGAUCCCAAUUCCAAGGAAUUUGGGAUUUUUGGGAAUGGCAAAUCUUGUGCUGCUCCAGGAGUGGGGGAGGGUGGGGGAUUUUAUUCCUUGAUUUUAUCUUGGAAUCCCAAAUCCAAGAGAUUUGAAGGAAUUUCGGGGAACCAGUGCCUCCAGUUUUGCCUCUGGAUGAGCGGAUCCGUUGGGAAUUCCAGGAUUUUAUGGAUCCAGGGGGGGAUUUGUUCCCUUCCCAGGGAACCUCCUGUGCUUUGGGAUGAUGAAGACCCAAAAUUCCAAAGCCACACUUUUGGAAAAAUCCAACCAAAAAAAAAAAAAAAAAUUCCAGCACCACGCUUUGGAAAAAUCCAGUUGGAUUUUAUUGUCCUAAAAAGGACAAAAAAAACAAAACAAAAAGACAAAAAACCUCUGGAAAUGCAAAUUUUCUUCACGGAGUUCUGUAAAUAAAAUCAAGUUUGUUUGUUCCUUAGGUUUA